rnacentral:rRNA from 1 species
AACGAACGUUGGCGGCGUGGAUUAGGCAUGCAAGUCGAACGAGAAAGCACCCUUCGGGGUGUGAGUAAAGUGGCGAACGGGUGAGUAACGCGUGGGGAACCUGCCCUCGAGUGGGGGAUAACGCUCCUAACGGAGCGCUAAUACCGCAUGAUACCGGAACCAGGCAUCUGGAUCCGGUCAAAGAUGGCCUCUGUUUCAAGCUGUCGCUUAAGGAUGGCCCCGCGUCCGAUUAGUUGUUGGUGGGGUAACGGCCUACCAAGGCGACGAUCGGUAGCCGGCCUGAGAGGGUGUCCGGCCACACUGGGACUGAGAUACGGCCCAGACUCCUACGGGAGGCAGCAGUCGAGAGGCUUCCGCAAUGGGGGAAACCCUGACGGAGCGACGCCGCGUGGGUGAGGAAGGUCUUCGGAUCGUAAAGCCCUGUCAGUUGGGAAGAAAACCGGAUUGGUUAAUACCCUUUCCGCUUGACGGUACCUUCAGAGGAAGCUCCGGCUAACUCCGUG